UGGGGAAUCUUGCACAAUGGGGGAAACCCUGAUGCAGCGACGCCGCGUGAGCGAUGAAGCCCUUCGGGGUGUAAAGCUCUUUCGACGGGAACGAUAAUGACGGUACCCGGAGAAGAAGCUGCGGCUAACUACGUGCCAGCAGCCGCGGUAAUACGUAGGCAGCAAGCGUUGUUCGGAAUUAUUGGGCGUAAAGGGUGCGUAGGCGGUUUCGUAAGUUUGGUGUGAAAUCUCCCGGCUUAACUGGGAGGGUGCGCCGAAAACUGCGAGGCUUGAGUGUGGGAGAGGUAGGCGGAAUUCCUGGUGUAGCGGUGAAAUGCGUAGAUAUCAGGAGGAACACCGGUGGUGUAGACGGCUUACUGGACCACGACUGACGCUGAUGCACGAAAGCGUGGGGAGCAAACAGGAUUAGAUACCCCUGUAGUCC
rnacentral:rRNA from 1 species